rnacentral:piRNA from 1 species
UGAUAAUAAUCCCUUAGAUCUCAGGAUCCAC